AACCGGUAAGGAAAGUAAGUAGAUUUCACUCCUGACUUUUUCCCUCCAUUUACAGACUGUUUCUUCUACAAAUUUCUACGAUGGGUCACCUGGAGCAUUUCACCCCUGGAGCCACUGCCAUAAGCCACCCAGAGUCUUUUGGGGUGCGUUAUCAUAGCUUUUCAUUUGAAGAAUGGUACUCCACAUCAGAGUGAUGCAGUCUUCUGUCAUCCUGAGCCCUGCUUUCGAAACAUAUGGAAAGGAGCUAUCCACUUCAAGAUUCCAGCUUUUUUAGGAAAACUG